rnacentral:rRNA from 1 species
AUUGAACGCUGGCGGAAUGCUUUACACAUGCAAGUCGAACGGCAGCACGGACUUCGGUCUGGUGGCGAGUGGCGAACGGGUGAGUAAUAUAUCGGAACGUGCCCAGUCGUGGGGGAUAACGUAGCGAAAGCUACGCUAAUACCGCAUACGAUCUACGGAUGAAAGCGGGGGAUCGCAAGACCUCGCGCGAUUGGAGCGGCCGAUAUCAGAUUAGGUAGUUGGUGAGGUAAAGGCUCACCAAGCCGACGAUCUGUAGCUGGUCUGAGAGGACGACCAGCCACACUGGGACUGAGACACGGCCCAGACUCCUACGGGAGGCAGCAGUGGGGAAUUUUGGACAAUGGACGCAAGUCUGAUCCAGCCAUUCCGCGUGCAGGACGAAGGCCUUCGGGUUGUAAACUGCUUUUGUACAGAACGAAAAGGUCUCUAUUAAUACUAGGGGCUCAUGACGGUACUGUAAGAAUAAGCACCGGCUAACUACGUGCCAGCAGCCGCAGUAA